rnacentral:rRNA from 1 species
UACGAAGGGGCUAGCGUUGCUCGGAAUCAUUGGGCGUAAAGCGCACGUAGGCGGGUUGCUAAGUCAGGGGUGAAAUCCUGGAGCUCAACUCCAGAACUGCCUUUGAUACUGGCGGCCUUGAGUCCGGGAGAGGUGAGUGGAACUGCGAGUGUAGAGGUGAAAUUCGUAGAUAUUCGCAAGAACACCAGUGGCGAAGGCGGCUCACUGGCCCGGUACUGACGCUGAGGUGCGAAAGCGUGGGGAGCAAACAGG